rnacentral:rRNA from 1 species
UACGUAGGGUGCAAGCGUUGUCCGGAAUUAUUGGGCGUAAAGAGCUCGUAGGCGGUUUGUCGCGUCUGCUGUGAAAAUCCAGGGCUUAACCCUGGACCUGCAGUGGGUACGGGCAGACUAGAGUGCGGUAGGGGAGAUCGGAAUCCUGGUGUAGCGGUGAAAUGCGCAGAUAUCAGGAGGAACACCAAUGGCGAAGGCAGGUCUCUGGGCCACAACUGACGCUGAGGAGCGAAAGCAUGGGGAGCGAACAGG